rnacentral:rRNA from 1 species
GAUCAUGGCUCAGGAUGAACGCUGGCGGCGUGCUAACACAUGCAAGUCGAACGAAGCAACUAUCUUGCUGCAAGAGAGUUGACUUAGUGGCGGACGGGUGAGUAACGCGUGGGUAACCUGCCUCAUACAGGGGGAUAACAGUUGGAGACGACUGCUAAGACCGCAUAACCCGCUAGUGUCGCAUGACACGGACGGAAAAUAUUUAUAGGUAUGAGAUGGGCCCGCGUCUGAUUAGCUAGUUGGUAAGGUAACGGCUUACCAAGGCGACGAUCAGUAGCCGACUUGAGAGAGUGAUCGGCCACAUUGGGACUGAGACACGGCCCAAACUCCUACGGGAGGCAGCAGUGGGGAAUAUUGGACAAUGGGGGAAACCCUGAUCCAGCGACGCCCGCGUGAGUGAAGAAGUAUUUCGGUAUGUAAAGCUCUAUCAGCAGGGAAGAUAAUGACAGUACCUGACUAAGAAGCCCCGGCUAACUACGUGCCAGCAGCUGC